rnacentral:rRNA from 1 species
CACUCCUACGGGAGGCAGCAGUGGGGAAUUUUGGACAAUGGGCGAAAGCCUGAUCCAGCCAUGCCGCGUGCAGGAUGAAGGCCUUCGGGUUGUAAACUGCUUUUGUACGGAACGAAACGGCCUUUUCUAAUAAAGAGGGCUAAUGACGGUACCGUAAGAAUAAGCACCGGCUAACUACGUGCCAGCAGCCGCGGUAAUACGUAGGGUGCAAGCGUUAAUCGGAAUUACUGGGCGUAAAGCGUGCGCAGGCGGUUAUGUAAGACAGUUGUGAAAUCCCCGGGCUCAACCUGGGAACUGCAUCUGUGACUGCAUAGCUAGAGUACGGUAGAGGGGGAUGGAAUUCCGCGUGUAGCAGUGAAAUGCGUAGAUAUGCGGAGGAACACCGAUGGCGAAGGCAAUCCCCUGGACCUGUACUGACGCUCAUGCACGAAAGCGUGGGGAGCAAACAGGAUUAGAAACCCUAGUAGUCCC